UAGCGCCCUUCAUCACCGAACUUGGUUACUGUUUAGGUCCUAAGCAGUAUUGCUGCAUUUUAAAUGCAAAAUUCAAAAUAUGGAGCGCAGCCCCUGUUUUAAAGUCUGUCUACUAGAAGUUGAGGUAUUGUCGCUGAAGAAUGUUUCGCAGUAUACCUACAUUUCACAGAAAAAUCCUUUGCUAAUGUUUCAUUCUUCAACUCUACAAUGUAACAGAGGAUGAAGUCAUUGAUGAUCAACAUGGUAGGACAUUAGUACACUCCAGCUGGAAUAAUAUUAUAACUACAGAAAUCUGGUAAUUGUUUGAUGAAGACUGAAGCUUUUGAUGUUCCUCCAGAUUCAAAGAAUAUUUAUGAUGAGAAAUUGCAUGUAAGAGUGGGAGGGAAUCUCCUCAUUAUUGAUAAAUGCUUAAAAGAUUCCAAUGGCAUAUAUUAAGUCAGAAAAUUUUCUUUUAAUGUUCUUAGUUCCAUUUCUACUUUUGAACCAAAAUGCACAGAUAUUUCAGUAAAAAGUCCACCCGCUUUAUCUAAUCUUUGUCGCAUAGAUUAACCCAAAAAAUGUCUACUUACAUCAGUUUUUUGUUAUUCUAAAUCCUGAAAGAAUUGUAACUUAAACAAGAUUAUUUGCUUAACUCUAAUCCUAAGUCAUGAAAUGUUGUCUUGUUAAAGCCUUUUGCAGAAAAUCCUAUGUAUCAUGCCAUUCAGUAUACGUAAGCUGUUACUUAGAGGUACGUAACAUUUUAUGUUUAAAAGAUAUAGAAUGCAAGAAAGCGUAUCAUUGCAUAUUGUGUGAUCUGUUUAGAACAUUGGUGUAUUUGUCAGAAUGGGCUGGGAGUUGAGGGAAAUGCCGAGAGGUUUUGACUUUAUUGGUUUUCAGUUUCCUCAGCAUGAUUAGAAUGGAAGAAAUGUUUCAUCUUUGCUUAUAAAGUAACUCUUUGGAGAACUUUUAUAAGUUCUGUUCUGACCAGUAUACAUUAUUUGAAUGCCUGUUUACCUCUCAUAAUAUUGUAAGAAUAAAGUUCUUCAUUGCAUAAAUACUCAGAAAAUUUAUCACAAAAGGAGACUCUCACAAAGUGAACAGUCUCCUAUUGUCAAGUAAAUGUGACAGGUGCGUUACACCAGAAUAAGAUCUCAUGCUUUUCCAAUUCAUCAUUGUUCUAAUAAGAAUAUUUUUUAGUUUGACCAAAACUAUAAAUAGCACAUCAGAAGAGACUGAAAAUACCUGUUGAAGAGGCUUCAGUCUAAUUGGUUCACUGGUGCUCAAUGGCAUUUUUAGGUUAAUAGAUAAAUACAUUUUUAAUGCUCAAGAGAUUAAAAUUGCAUUUAUUUAUCAUGUUGCUGUUUUAUUAAUGAAUUGGUAGUGUUGUGUAUAUCACUGAUGAAUUGUGUAUACUUAACAUGUAUGAACAAGGUGAGCAGAACAUUUAUAAUUUUUAUAUAUUCAUAAUGGCAUUGGUUGUAAGAGUUCUGUUUUACUAUGAUUAUCUGUACAUAUCACAAAAUUCGUGAAAAGUGAUGUAUAAACAUGACAUGACGAAAAAGAUUAUUAUCCAAAAGAUCUUCAGAGAAAAAUAAAGAUUAUUGUAACUUGAGCAGCUAUCAGAGUUAUAGGGUUCCACAGAGAUUGCCUUAUAAAAUUUGGCCUCUUUUUGAAAGUGAGUUAUGUAUUAAAAAAAACCCAAUGGUCAGAAAAAUUUUUUGCAUCAUAAAUAUAGUUUCUUUCAAGAAUAUAAGUAUCCAUAUAGAGAGAUGACCUUUUAAUUAACAUAGUAAUUGGUCUUUUAGGGAAAGAAUUUCUCCAUUUGAUAAUUCUGUGUUCCUGUCUUCCACAACAUUGAACUUUCAGAGUGCGCCUUUACAUUUCUUUUAAGGUAGCCUUGGAAAUGUAUGCUGCUUCUUAUAUAAAUCCUAAUAUUGAGUUCAUUUUGUUAGCCCAAUUUAUCCUUUUUGAUAUAAACAGUGUGCUGCAACUACACUUGUUUUAAGCAGUUUUCAGUAUCUGUUCCCCAUAUCCACUGUCCAGUCUUUUUUGUCGCAGACAUAGGACGUGUUGUAAUAUGUGUAUAUUAUAUAUAUAACUGUGUGUGAGGAAAAAACCAUUGUUUUAAAAAUACGUAUACGUAGUAUUCCCUGCCAACGUGGUGUCAAAAGGAAGUCGUACAUAACUGUUUCCACCCAGCUCUUGGUGAGGAAUUAAGAAUGUGUCAGGUUCUGGCAGUUGUUUCAUUGGAACGAUCAUUUUAGAAUUGUUCUCCAAUAAGGAUGGUUUCACCAGUGGUUUUCUUUUUCCCCUCUGGCAGGAGAGUUGACGUCUGUCACGCUGGGCCUGCCUCCUAGAGUCAG